GACGAACGCUGGCGGCGUGCCUAAUACAUGCAAGUGGGACGCAAGGGAACACACUGUGCUUGCACACCGUGUUUUCUUGAGUCGCGAACGGGUGAGUAACGCGUAGGUAACCUGCCUAUUAGCGGGGGAUAACUAUUGGAAACGAUAGCUAAUACCGCAUAAUAUUAAUUAUUGCAUGAUAAUUGAUUGAAAGAUGCAAGCGCAUCACUAGUAGAUGGACCUGCGUUGUAUUAGCUAGUUGGUAAGGUAAGAGCUUACCAAGGCGACGAUACAUAGCCGACCUGAGAGGGUGAUCGGCCACACUGGGACUGAGACACGGCCCAGACUCCUACGGGAGGCAGCAGUAGGGAAUCUUCGGCAAUGGACGAAAGUCUGACCGAGCAACGCCGCGUGAGUGAAGAAGGUUUUCGGAUCGUAAAGCUCUGUUGUAAGUCAAGAACGUGUGUGAGAGUGGAGAGUCACACAGUGACGGAGCUACCA
rnacentral:rRNA from 1 species